AGGGGUGUGAUGAAAUUGGAUAAACAUAACGGGUUUUGAUCCCGUCGCCGAGAGGCUUGCGCGUUCGAGUCGCGCCACCCUUG
rnacentral:tRNA from 1 species